rnacentral:rRNA from 1 species
AUUGAACGCUGGCGGCAGGCCUAACACAUGCAAGUCGAACGAGUGGCGGACGGGUGAGUAAUGUCUGGGGACCUACCCGAAAGAGGGGGAAAACUACUGGAAACGGUAGCUAAUACCGCAACCUAUCGGAAGAGCCCAUAUGGGAUUGGCUACUAGGUGGGGUAACGGCGCACCAAGGCGACGAUCCCUAGUUGGUCUGAGAGGAUGAUAAGCCACACUGGCACGGAGACACGGCCCAGACUCCUACGGGAGGCAGCAGUGGGGAAUAUUGCACAAUGGGCGCAAGCCUGAUGCAGCCAUGCCGCGUGUAUGAAGAAGGCCCUAGGGUUGUAAAGUACUUUCAGUGGGGAGGCGUUACCGACAGAAGAAGCACCGGCUAACUCCGUGCCAGCAGCCGCGGUAAUUC